GUGGAGUAAGUAACACCAGAGCAGAAUAUGUCAGGGCACACAGGUCAUAAUGUUUUGGCUCAACAGGUCACAUGGUGAUGAAUCACAAAUUUGAGCCCUCCUCCUCUGCUCCUUGUCAGCCAACAUCAUCUGUGUCAUUCUGGAAGCUGGAGUCCCCCAGGAUCUCAGAGUUGAUUCUCUCGACCACCUUUGAGGAUGUGUAAAGGUGGCAGCAUUUCAGCAAAAGAAGCCCUGGUGAAGGCUGACUCCCAAAGUCACUGCACUGACAACAAAAUGGCUGCAUUGCAAUGAACCAAAUGAGUUCAACAUGUUUGUGACAGGACGGAGAGGACAUUCUGUCUUCAGAAAACAGGACGUGAACGCGAGGCUUGAGCGCGACCCUUUCCCUUUGUGUUUUAACUCGUGCAAAGUGACCACGGCUGUGAAAAGAGCACGGCCUUGUCAGAAACACGAAGCCGUUAAGAAAUACUGCGUGACGAGAUUUGAAGAGGCUGAUUCUGCUCACGGACUGAAGCGUUUAUAUUUUAAUGCCACGAAAAAAUGUUGAGGGAAAAGUUUCAUGGUGACUUUUCAGAAGCGACUAGAAGCAGAGAAGGACACAGCGGAUUUUUGUGCUGCCAUAGGUCAGCCACGGUCAAACCCCUAAUCAUUAUUUCAGUUAUGAGUUGAGACUAAGAUAACAGUAGCACAUGCUCAUGAUUGCACACAUUUCGUAUAUUUAGAUGCAGUUAACAUCAUUCUUAAAAACCUGACACGUCAACUGCCUUAAAUAACAGAAGCUGCGCUCAUUUCUGUAGCACAGGACAUCUCUGAACCCUUUUAGAUCAACUGAAAGAGAUAAAUUGCAAAUAUGAAUCACAGCAGGAUGUUCACAAAACAUCGGAAUAUACCAACACAUCCAAUGUGUCAUGGUUUCCGGUGGAGCUUGGGUGAAUGUUCACGACGGCUAUUUCUGUUGCGCCGUUGCCGUCAUCACUUCUCUUUUCCCGCACAGUGAAAUUCUCGUCAUUCUCAGUUUCGGUGUCACUACUCUUGUCUGAUGAUCUGACCCGAUCAGUUUCCACUCUUUCAAUUCAAUUCAAUCCCGUCACUCUGCCUCUCAGACCAUCUGUCCGUCCGCCCUCCUCCCCCUCCUCAUCUCCGCCUCACCCUUGUUGUCCGGGGUCUGCAGAACCUACAUUGGUCCAUCUUGUCCACCGCUACCACGAGAGUCGAGGCUCCAUCUACUGCCUUCACCUGGGGAUUUGUGAUGUUGUUUCUCAUUGGUGAUUAAACGACCAACACAUUUAUUCUCAUGUGCUCUUAAA